ACUCCUCAAUUCCAGCUUCUGAAAAUGAGGUUCCCUGCUCAGCUCCUGGGUUUCCUCAUGCUCUGGGUCCCAGGAUCCAGUGGGGAUAUUGUGCUGACCCAGACUCCACUCUCCCUGUCUGUCAUCCCUGGAGACCCAGCCUCCAUCUCCUGCAGAUCCAGUCAGAGCCUCCUAGAUAGUGAUGGAGACACUUAUUUGAGCUGGUACCUGCAGAAACCAGGCCAGUCUCCACAGCUUCUGAUCUAUGAGGUUUCCAACCGAGCCUCUGGGGUCCCAGAGUGGUUCACUGGCAGUGGGUCAGGGACAGAUUUCACACUAAAAAUCAGCAGGGUGGAGGCUGAGGACGUUGGAGUUUAUUACUGCCAGCAAGCCAUGGAAGAUCCUCCCACAGUGGUACAGCCCUGA